UACAGAGGGUGCAAGCGUUAAUCGGAAUUACUGGGCGUAAAGCGCGCGUAGGUGGUUAUAUAAGUCAGAUGUGAAAUCCCCGGGCUUAACCUGGGAACUGCAUUUGAAACUGUAUGACUAGAGUAGGAUAGAGGAAAGGGGAAUUUCUGGUGUAGCGGUGAAAUGCGUAGAUAUCAGAAGGAACAUCAGUGGCGAAGGCGCCUUUCUGGAUUCAUACUGACACUGAGGUGCGAAAGCGUGGGGAGCAAACAGG
rnacentral:rRNA from 1 species